rnacentral:rRNA from 1 species
AUUGAACGCUGGCGGCAUGCCUUACACAUGCAAAUCGAACGGUAACAGGUCUUCGGAUGCUGACGAGUGGCGAACGGGUGAGUAAUACAUCGGAACGUGCCUAGUAGUGGGGGAUAACUACUCGAAAGAGUGGCUAAUACCGCAUGAGAUCUACGGAUGAAAGCAGGGGAUCGCAAGACCUUGUGCUACUAGAGCGGCCGAUGGCAGAUUAGGUAGUUGGUGGGAUAAAAGCUUACCAAGCCGACGAUCUGUAGCUGGUCUGAGAGGACGAUCAGCCACACUGGGACUGGGACAGGGCCCAGACUCCUACGGGAGGCAGCAGUGGGGAAUUUUGGACAAUGGGCGCAAGCCUGAUCCAGCAAUGCCGCGUGCAGGAUGAAGGCCUUCGGGUUGUAAACUGCUUUUGUACGGAACGAAAAGCCCUGGGUUAAUACCCUGGGGUCAUGACGGUACCGUAAGAAUAAGCACCGGCUAACUACGUGCCAGCCGCCGCCGUAA